rnacentral:rRNA from 1 species
UAGGACUAAGACAUGCUAGUCGAGCGCUCUUCAGCCAUGAUAAGAGCGCGGCACACAGCUCAGUAACACGUGGCUAACCUGCCCUCGGGACGGGAACACCCCCGGGAAACUGGGGCUAAUUCCCGAUAGGCGAAGAACUCUGGAAUGAGUCUCCGCCCAAAAGACGCUUAGAUCACGCUUUUAAGCGCCGCCCAAGGAUGGGGCCGCGACCGAUCAGGUUGUUGGUGAGGUAACGGCCCACCAAGCCUUUUACCGGUGCGGGCCGUGGGAGCGGGAGCCCGGAGAUGGGCACUGAGACAAGGGCCCAGGCCCUACGGGGCGCAGCAGUCGCGAAAACUUUGCAAUAAGCGAAAGCUUGACAGGGCUAUCCCGAGUGCCAUCCGCUGAGGAAGGCUUUUACCCAGUCUAGAACGCUGGGAGAAUAAGGAGAGGGCAAGUCUGGUGUCAGCCGCCGCGGUAAUACCAGCUCUCCGAGUGGUGUGGAUGUUUAUUGGGCCUAAAGCAUCCGUAGCUGGCCAGGCCAGUCCCCUGUUAAAUCCACCGAAUCAAUCGUUGGAUUGCGGGGGAUACUGCCCGGCUAGGGGACGAGAGAGGCCGACGGUAUUUCCG